rnacentral:rRNA from 1 species
GAUGAACGCUGGCGGCGUGCCUAAUACAUGCAAGUCGAGCGAACGGACGAGAAGCUUGCUUCUCUGAUGUUAGCGGCGGACGGGUGAGUAACACGUGGAUAACCUACCUAUAAGACUGGGAUAACUUCGGGAAACCGUAGCUAAUACCGGAUAAUAUUUUGAACCGCAUGGUUCAAAAGUGAAAGACGGUCUUGCUGUCACUUAUAGAUGGAUCCGCGCUGCAUUAGCUAGUUGGUAAGGUAACGGCUUACCAAGGCAACGAUGCAUAGCCGACCUGAGAGGGUGAUCGGCCACACUGGAACUGAGACACGGUCCAGACUCCUACGGGAGGCAGCAGUAGGGAAUCUUCCGCAAUGGGCGAAAGCCUGACGGAGCAACGCCGCGUGAGUGAUGAAGGUCUUCGGAUCGUNAAACUCUGUUAUUAGGGAAGAACAUAUGUGUAAGUAACUGUGCACAUCUUGACGGUACCUAAUCAGAAAGCCACGGCUAACUACGUGCCAGCAGCCGCGGUAAUACGUAGGUGGCAAGCGUUAUCCGGAAUUAUUGGGCGUAAAGCGCGCGUAGCGGUUUUUUAAGUCUGAUGUGAAAGCCCACGGCUCAACCGUGGAGGGUCAUUGGAAACUGGAAAACUUGAGUGCAGAAGAGGAAAGUGGAAUUCCAUGUGUAGCGGUGAAAUGCGCAGAGAUAUGGAGGAACACCAGUGGCGAAGGCGACUUUCUGGUCUGUAACUGACGCUGAUGUGCGAAAGCGUGGGGAUCAAACAGGAUUAGAUACCCUGGUAGUCCACGCCGUAAACGAUGAGUGCUAAGUGUUAGGGGGUUUCCGCCCCUUAGUGCUGCAGCUAACGCAUUAAGCACUCCGCCUGGGGAGUACGACCGCAAGGUUGAAACUCAAAGGAAUUGACGGGGACCCGCACAAGCGGUGGAGCAUGUGGUUUAAUUCGAAGCAACGCGAAGAACCUUACCAAAUCUUGACAUCCUUUGACAACUCUAGAGAUAGAGCCUUCCCCUUCGGGGGACAAAGUGACAGGUGGUGCAUGGUUGUCGUCAGCUCGUGUCGUGAGAUGUUGGGUUAAGUCCCGCAACGAGCGCAACCCUUAAGCUUAGUUGCCAUCAUUAAGUUGGGCACUCUAAGUUGACUGCCGGUGACAAACCGGAGGAAGGUGGGGAUGACGUCAAAUCAUCAUGCCCCUUAUGAUUUGGGCUACACACGUGCUACAAUGGACAAUACAAAGGGCAGCGAAACCGCGAGGUCAAGCAAAUCCCAUAAAGUUGUUCUCAGUUCGGAUUGUAGUCUGCAACUCGACUACAUGAAGCUGGAAUCGCUAGUAAUCGUAGAUCAGCAUGCUACGGUGAAUACGUUCCCGGGUCU